CCUACGAGUGGCAGCAGUAGGGAAUCUUCCACAAUGGGCGAAAGCCUGAUGGAGCAACGCCGCGUGGGUGAAGAAGGUCUUCGGAUCGUAAAACCCUGUUGUUAGAGAAGAAAGUGCGUGAGAGUAACUGUUCACGUUUCGACGGUAUCUAACCAGAAAGCCACGGCUAACUACGUGCCAGCAGCCGCGGUAACACGUAGGUGGCAAGCGUUAUCCGGAUUUAUUGGGCGUAAAGGGAACGCAGGCGGUCUUUUAAGUCUGAUGUGAAAGCUUUCGGCUUAACCGGAGUAGUGCAUUGGAUACUGGGAGACUUGAGUGCAGAAGAGGAGAGUGGAACUCCAUGUGUAGCGGUGAAAUGCGUAGAUAUAUGGAAGAACACCAGUGGCGAAAGCGGCUCUCUGGUCUGUAACUGACGCUGAGGUUCGAAAGCGUGGGUAGCAAACAGGAUUAGAUACCCCAGUAGUC
rnacentral:rRNA from 1 species